GGGGAUGAUCGGUUUCGACAUCGCCUGUGUGCCCACGAGAAGCGGGCCGAGGAUGCAGGGUUAUCUCGUGAACGCUCCCUGCGAACAAAUAACUGCCAAUAAGACGCAGUCUGACUUCGCCCUCGCUGCCUAAGCGAGCUCGAUAGUCCGUCAGUCCGGGUUCGUUCCCGCCCCGGUGCCUGACGUCAUCUAGGGAACUUGCUGCGCGUCGUCGCCUGAGCGACGUGCGGGACUUCUUCAGGCUGGGCCCGUCGACUCAGGUGCCUGUGGCAAGAGUCGGGGCCGAGCAGAACGCCUUCACAGGCUGCGCCCGGAGAAGACGUGGAAUCUCAGCGAUGGACGGGGGUUCAAUUCCCCCCAUCUCCACCA
rnacentral:tmRNA from 1 species